UACAGAGGUCCCAAGCGUUGUUCGGAUUCACUGGGCGUAAAGGGUGCGUAGGUGGUGAGGUAAGUCGGAUGUGAAAGCUCGGAGCUCAACUCCGAAAUGGCAUUGGAAACUACCUUGCUCGAGGGUUGGAGGGGGGACUGGAAUGCUUGGUGUAGCAGUGAAAUGCGUAGAUAUCAAGCGGAACACCAGUGGCGAAGGCGGGUCUCUGGACAGUUCCUGACGCUGAGGCACGAAGGUCAGGGGAGCAAACGGG
rnacentral:rRNA from 1 species